CCUUCGCAAAUCACCUUCACCUUCGAAUUAAUUGUUGAAAACCCUAACCCUAACACACCCACACACUCACACUCAUUCUCACCAUCACUCACCACUGCCACCACGCCCCCCUUUCACACACACACACCCAGAUCUGAGAGAAAGAGUGAACCAGAGGGAGGAGAGGAGGGAGACGGAGAUGAGAGAGCGCGAUCGAGAGAAUAGAGAGUGAGAGGGGGUCACCGCCGCAACGUCGCUGCAGCCGCCGCCAUUGCCGUCGCGGAGCAGGGAGCCCGGAGGGGAGAGAGAGACGAUUUGCAGACGAGAUGGAGAGAGAGGACGAAGAUGCGACGCAAGAGAGGAGGCUGUUCCGCCGUGCACUGUCGUCGCUCCUGGGGUCGAUUGAAGCCGCCGCCGCAGCUAGGGCUUGCUGUGCUCCUGCAACAAUAUAUUUUAGGAGUUGUAUUGGACUGGAAGAGAUGGAAGGGGAGCGUUUGAACUUUCAAUUUCAUUAAUUUUUGCUGAAUUUCUGUGCCUGUGGGUGAAUACUGGAUUGUGAAGGAUGGUUAGGAUUGUGAAUACAGAAGUUUGGACCUCUUCAUAUAUGGGAACAAUGCUGAUCGAUUCCUGAAUUGGAGCACUAGGUUCCAAAUUGUUCUAGGCGUGGCAAGGGGAUUGCAGUACCUUCAUGAGGAUUCACAUCUAAGAAUUGUUCACCGAGACAUCAAAGCAAGCAACAUUCUUCUUGAUCAUAAGUUUCAUCCCAAGAUUGGAGACUUUGGCCUUGCCAGGUUCUUCCCUGAAGACCAAGCUUAUCUUAGCACACAAUUCGCUGGAACAUUGUAAGUCCAAUUAUUAAAUAUUUUAAUUACU